rnacentral:rRNA from 1 species
GACGAACGCUGGCGGCGUGCUUAACACAUGCAAGUCGAGCGGUAAGGCCCUUUCGGGGGUACACGAGCGGCGAACGGGUGAGUAACACGUGGGUGACCUGCCCUCAGCUCUGGGAUAAAGCCUGGGAAACUGGGUCUAAUACCGGAUAUGACUCCAUGACGCAUGUUGUGGGGUGGAAAGUCCUUGUGCGGCUGAGGAUGGGCCCGCGGCCUAUCAGCUUGUUGGUGGGGGAUGGCCUACCAAGGCGACGACGGGUAGCCGGCCUGAGAGGGCGACCGGCCACACUGGGACUGAGACACGGCCCAGACUCCUACGGGAGGCAGCAGUGGGGAAUCUUGCGCAAUGGGCGAAAGCCUGACGCAGCGACGCCGCGUGA